GACGAACGCUGGCGGCGUGCUUAACACAUGCAAGUCGAACGAAGUGGCGGACGGGUGAGUAACGCCUAAUCAACCUGCCGUUCAGAGGGGGACAACAGUUGGAAACGACUGCUAAUCCCGCAUACUGAAGGAGGGGAUUGCGUCUGAUUAGCUAGUCGGAGGGGUAACGCCCCACUAAGGCGGUGACGGGUAGCCGGCCUGAGAGGGGAACCGGCCACAUUGGGACGGGUAUACGGCCCAGCCGCCUAAGGGAGGCAGCAGUGGGGGAUAUUGGCCAAUGGGUGAAAGCCUGAUGCAGCGACGCCGAGUGGGGGAUGAAGGCUUUCGGGUUGUAAACCUCUUUAGCUAUCGAACGGGUAGUCGGAGAAGAAGCGCCGGCUAACUACGUGCCAGCAGCCGCGGUAAUUC
rnacentral:rRNA from 1 species